rnacentral:rRNA from 1 species
UAUACUGGGUAGGUUAUAGGACGGGUUUGUAAAAUAUGACGGUAGAGAUGUGGGAGGGAAUAACCAGUUGGCGAAGGCGGACUCUCUUGGUCUGUAAACUGAACGCUGAGGGCGGCGAAAAGCGUGGGGAGCGAACAGGGAUUAGAUACCCUGGGUAGUCCACGCCGUAAACGAUGAGUGCUAAGUGUUAGAGGGUUUCCGCCCUUUAGUGCUGCAGCAAACGCAUUAAGCACUCCGCCUGGGGAGUACGGUCGCAAGACUGAAACUCAAAGGAAUUGACGGGGGCCCGCACAAGCGGUGGAGCAUGUGGUUUAAUUCGAAGCAACGCGAAGAACCUUACCAGGUCUUGACAUCCUCUGACAACCCUAGAGAUAGGGCUUCCCCUUCGGGGGCAGAGUGACAGGUGGUGCAUGGUUGUCGUCAGCUCGUGUCGUGAGAUGUUGGGUUAAGUCCCGCAACGAGCGCAACCCUUGAUCUUAGUUGCCAGCAUUCAGUUGGGCACUCUAAGGUGACUGCCGGUGACAAACCGGAGGAAGGUGGGGAUGACGUCAAAUCAUCAUGCCCCUUAUGACCUGGGCUACACACGUGCUACAAUGGGCAGAACAAAGGGCAGCGAAGCCGCGAGGCUAAGCCAAUCCCACAAAUCUGUUCUCAGUUCGGAUAGCAGUCUGCAACUCGACUGCGUGAAGCUGGAAUCGCUAGUAAUCGCGGAUCAGUCAUGUCGCGGUGAAUACGUUCCCGGGCCUUGUAUACCCCGCCCGUCACACCACGAGAGUUUGUAACACCCGAAGUCGGUGAGGUAACCUUUUGGAGCCAGCCGCCGAAGGUGGGACAUAUGAUUGGGG